ACAACAAAAAUGUCUUCUUGUGGCACAAAAAAAUGUCCUAAUACAUAUCAUUAAAGAGGCACUUAUACUUUUUAGGGCAAAUAAAAUAUAUGUCGCAUAGUUGCGUGUUGCAUUAGCUUGUGAGGCACUUAUUAAUUGUCCCAAUAUAAUAUUGUUAUCAAGACACUAAUAUGCGUCCCAAUAGAGUGUUUUGAGACACUAUUAUACGCCUCGUAAGGAUAUUACUGAUUUUGCUA